CCCCACUCCGCACUGGGGCCAUGCCUGCCUCUGGGCCUCCCGCUCCGUGGGUGCUGAGACCGGGCUCAUCGUUUUGUAGGGCGCGGGGCGCCGCGUCCUUCCGCCCCUUGCCCAGGCGCAGCCGAGCGUUUGACCCGCCGCGGGGUGGCCCAGGGGACUCUCCCUUAUUGACGCGUUAACGGACCUUCCCUCCCUUUGGGUGCCAGACCGACAUCCGCACCAUUUGUGCAGUCGCGUUUUGAGUUUCCACCUACAAGUCUUGGGUGACGUUUCUCCAUAAUAAACACCAGUUUCGAUGGUCCUCACCGCAGAUUAAUCAGGGGCUUUCUGUGACUCAAGUGAACCUGAGGCGGGUGGAAGGAACGACCGAUGGCUUCAUGCUCUGUGUCCCCAGUAAACCUGAUGUGUUUGCGACUUUUGAGGUUUUCUGGCUCCCUUAGAUGGGCUUUUUUCCUUAAUAAGAGGGCAUGUUAUAAAGAGUGCCUGAUUAUCUCAUAGAUAUGAAGGCCACCUCACUUAACUGUGAUUGCUUUUGAUGUUAAUACAACACAGGUGACGAACACAAACUGCAAAUAGUGAGCCCUGGCCUAGGCACUGGUAGAAAGGGUACUUAGGCAGCUACUGCUUUUUGGCCCUUGUUCCUGAAUCUUUCAUUGUAAAUUUGCUCUAAACGCAGUACGCACCCUAUAGAAGACCCUUAGGCCUUAAAUGCCUACUAUCCAUGUGGGCACUUGCAUAUACAGAGAGGUGAACUUCUGGAAGUGGUACAGAAGAAACUCAACAGCCAGGAGGAUAUGCUGCAAAGCCUGAGUUUUGAAGAUGUAUAAAGAUCAUCAUGAUAAAUGUUUUCUAAAAAUUUGUCAAAGAGGAUGGCUAUGAAAAAACCAUUAGGACCACAACUGCAUGUUACAGGUGGAACCGAAAGUUAUGUCCUAUAGGUAACUGUGGAUAAAUGUUCAGGUCCUUAACCAUGGUGUUUAAGAAUUCUUCAUUGCCUCAAGUGUGGCAUAUAACAUUUUGGGAAGGAAAAAUGAAGAAUUGGUCAUGAAGACAUGAAUAGAAGCGAGUGAAUAAAAUUAAUAUUUUAUUUAACAUUGAUAACCAUAUUUCACAAUAAUUCUGUAGAAAAUACAUGUUUGGAUACUUAAUAUUUGCUGGCCAAUAAAGUUAUUUUUAAAAACUA